GGAUCACUAGCUCAAGCCGGUACAGCAUGAGACUCUUAAUCCGGAGGUCGUGGGUUUGAGCCCCACGUUGGCUG